CUGAGAAGCAGGACUCUUUGCUUAUCCAUUUGCAAACACACGAAAUGAUGACAGUGGCUGGAAGCUUUGAAGAGACUGGGGGAAGGGGAAAUAGAGAAGCCAGAAAGAAAAGUAUUGGGGGCUAAAAGAGACCUUGUCCAGAAAAGACUGACAAAUUCAUCUUUUCAGAUUCUUUGAUCACUGUGCGGGAACAAUGAGGCUCACCCUAAAGUUACUGAUCAGGGGGCACUGCUAUCACAGGACCAAAGGACUAGGGAGAAGUCUCAGCCAGAACACCUGUGUUACAUGUCAAAGAUUUCCCUGUAGAAACAACACACAGAAGCAAGAUGGCGCAGGAAGUCCUACACAGCUGGUAGCCAUCAACUGAGAAGCCAAAUCCAGAAAACUAGAGGUCAAAGUGAAUGAAGGAGAAAAUUCUGGGAGCAAAACCAUGUUUCUUGCUGCCUCCCCUCCAAGCCCAUUGGCUGAUUAAUACAAUCUCCUUUCCAAAACCACCUGACAAAACUGAGAAGACAGAGCUAUGAAUCCUGCUUCCUAGGACACACAGCAGCUUUUGAAUGAAAGGGAAAGAGGGUGACUUCCUGAAGGGUGAGAAGAUUUACUUUUCAUUCCUAUGACUAAAGUGUUUCAUAUGUUGUCAGUUUUCAUCUCAUUUUGCACCUGUCAUAAAUACUCUGUCUUUCCUCUGAGUAUAAAAGAAAACAUAGUGUUGUAUUGAACUAAAUACAUAGUGGUCAUGGAGAGGAAGAUAUAAGCAUAAUAGAAACAGACCAUCAGAAACAAAUUUUUAAAAUAAUGCAAAGAUGAGAAAAAAAAAUAGGAAAAGGAAGAAAAUGUGCACUAUGUUCCCUACCUUUAAAAACAGACAACUUCCAUACUGAGCAUCAAUUCCUAGAAAAUUAUUGAUCCUACAACAGCAACAGUGUUUUUCUUCAGAAAGAUUUCAGAAAGUUUGUUGAAUGAGCUAUGGGUGUGAAAUUUAUGUAAGCUAUUUGGAACAGCAACUAUCUUUAUGCAUUGUAAAAUAGCUAGCACAAGAUAUUUUUAAAUGUCUAGCCAGAUAAAUGGAGUUAUUGGGUUGUGUAAUCUAAAAUGCAAAUAACACUAGCAAAAAUAAUAAUAAAUAUCUCUGUACUUAA